rnacentral:rRNA from 1 species
AUUGAACGCUGGCGGCAGGCCUAACACAUGCAAGUCGAGCGGAGCGGCGGACGGGUACGUAAUGCCUGGGAAUCUGCAUGGGAGUGGGGGAUAACGUCCGGAAACGGGCGCUGAUGCCGCUUCCUCUCGGAUGAACCUAGGGCGGAUUAGCUAGUUGGUGGGGUAAAGGCCUACCAAGGCGACGAUCCGUAACUGGUCUGAGAGGAUGAGCAGUCACACUGGAACUGAGACACGGUCCAGACUCCUACGGGAGGCAGCAGUGGGGAAUAUUGGACAAUGGGCGAAAGCCUGAUCCAGCCAUGCCGCGUGUGUGAAGAAGGCCUUCGGAUUGUAAAGCACUUUAAGCUGGGAGGCGUUACCAACAGAAUAAGCACCGGCUAACUCCGUGCCAGCAGCCGCGGUAAUAC